ensembl:lncRNA
UGAUAUUUUGGUGCUAAAUUCAUAAAUACAGUAAUUACUACAUAGCAUUACUGCAUAUUGAACUACUUUUUCUGCCAAAUUUGUUGUCUAACAUGAUGUUUUGGUGCUUAAUUUGUAAAAUCAUAACCUAAUUUGAUGUUUAAUAGGCUUUUCCUUAAUGCCUCCUUCUUAUCCAACAUAUUCGCUUAUCCAACAUUCUGCCGGCCCAUUUAUGUUGGAUAAGUGAGACUCUACUGUACUAAGAAGUUGUAAUGUUCUUGAUGUGUGGCUGGAACUGGGGAGUGUCCAGACACAAGUGUGUAUGCAUUACUGAUUGCAUCAGUUUAGUUCAGUUCUGAGUCGAGUGCUGUCUGCUGAGAGUCAAGUCCUGUGUCCAUUGUUUGCAAGUCUGUUUGUCUUGUACAGUAAAACCUGUAUAUAGUUUUACCAAAGUCUCUGGAUGUCUCUUCGUUCUGCGUUCCACUGACUCCAUCCAACUACUGCUGCGCUGCAAAUUACUCUGACAUUUGGUUAUGGGCCAGAUACCAGUUCCUAGACUGGCCAGAUCCUAGACUGAACCAGAGCACAGACUGGACCUGUUUCUGGAGUUUGGAGUGGAGAAAAAGGAAGGAAGGGAGCAAAGAUGGGGAGGGUGGGAAUGCAGAGCGGCUCUUUUAAUUGAUAUCUUAAGCCCUGACAAAUUGAUGCAACAUGCUGCAGCUGAGUUGGAAAAGGGGAAACAAUGAGUCAGGCUUCCCAAGAAAUAGGGCGGAUGCAAAAGAAGGAUGCUGCUAAACGGCAGCAAGUUCAUUUCAUUCAUUCUUACCCAGCCCUGAAAAAGUAAGAUAUUGGGUUUCUAAUUUUAUUUUAGGCUAAUGAGGAGUAAUAACUUGGCCAGCUCUGAAAAAGUAAGAGAUUGGGUCUCUAAUUUCAUUUUAGGCUAGUCUACGAAACAAUAAGCAAUGAACAACACGGCUGCAAAAACCCGACCGCAAAGAACAGAACAAAAUGACGAUAUCACAGCAUUACUUCUCUCUAAGGCUGGAUCUACACUGCCAUAUAAUGCCAUUUGAAACUGCAUCAUAUGGUCAGUGUAGACUCAUAUAAUACAGUUCAUUGAAGAUAAAUUGCAUUAUAUAGGUCCACAUUGAUCAUAUAGUGGAGCAUUCAAAGUUCAUUAUACGGCAAGUGUUGCACCCCAAGGCAGCUUGAACAUUGGAAACCAAACAAAGACCAAUAGUCAUAUAAUAUCUUUAUUAAAACAAUAAUAAAUUCAGGAAAGAAUAAGUGGAAAGGAUGAGUGACCAAUAGUCCUUUAUGAUGUGGUAUGAAUUAGUCCAAACCAUUGAAGAGAUAUGUCCAAUAUUAUUGUCCAUAGUCCAGAAACCGAAACACACUCAAAACUGAUGAAAAGUUAUUGAGCGGGGAAACAACAAGAAAGCAGGAGUAAAUAACAAAGUCCAAAGUCACUAGAAAGUCUUGGAUUUCAAGGCAGGCAAAAGACGAAGCUAAAAGCAAUCUGGAUUCAGGAACAAGGCCAGGACAUGAAUUCACUCCGGAUUAAAAUGGCAGUCGCGGCUCGGCUUGGCCGCCAGGAAGCAUGAGACUCGGCUUGAGAAUCAGGGAACUGGAAACGGUGAAGUCGCUACGUUGACACCACAACUGACUCACAGUGAAAGACACUUUUAUAGAAGUUAGAUCUAAUAACAGCAAAGGGAACCCAACUCCCCAAAGGUUCCCAAAACAAUCUGCUAUCCAGUAUCCCUUCUAGACGCCAAUCGUUGACUCCUGAGAAGCUGCUGCAUCUGGGAUCUUUCUUGCUGCAAAAACUGUCUUCUGUUAAAGGAUACAUUCCCUGGGGAGCUUGGAACAUCUGGUUCUUCCACAGGAGUAAUGUUAUCAGUAUCUCUCCCAAUUAAGGAAGCCUCGGUGCUAUCCACAGCUGGGGUCUGUAAUUGGAAGGAACUCGGAGGAGAACUGGGUGAAAAGUCAGAGUAAGCUUCAUCCUGGUCAAAGUUCAUUUCUGAACCAGGUUCAGAAUCCAAAGGCGGCUGGGAUAUAACAGCAAGUG